ACAAUAAAAAAAUAAAGAUACAGAGGAUAUUACAAAAAAAAUCACAUUGGCAGACCCUUGACUGAAGCGUGGCCUCUUUACCUAGGAAGCCAAUUCUCUUGGAUGGAGGGACACCCUGGAGCCAGGAGGAGAAAGCAGUCAUCACUCUGAUGGGCCCUGGGUCCAGACACUCAUCUGCCCACCAGAAAGGAGCUGCCGGGCAGUUGAGGGUGCUCUGUGCUGUGUUUGCGCUGACAUUUUUGACCCAGAAAUUGUUUAUUUUGAUGGUGGCUGCUUUUUUCUAUUAGUGGUUCUAGCACAUCCUAAAGGUGCUUACGGAGCCUUUGUGCUAAUAGUUACUCCAUGUCCCUUCCAGGCUUCUAGGGAAGAAGAAGGCAAAAGAAGCAACAUUUCUGGACAAGUGCCAAGGAAGCACAUGUGGAGCACAGGGUGACAACUGCUGUUUUCCUCUUCUAGCCAGAGAUCUUCUUUUCCCAGCCCAGAGUCCCGUGUGGUUCUCUUCCUGCAUACGGAAUUUUUGUUGCCCCUUCCCCUCAGAUCUCAUUUGACCAUCGUGGACUUCUGUGGUCCCCUCAUUUUUCAGCCUUUUUAAAAAAUUAUUUAUUUAUUUAUUUUGGUUACGUUGGGUCUUCUUUGCUGUGCAUGGGCUUUCUCUAGUUGCGUUGAGUGGGGGGCUACUCUUCGUUGUGGUGCGCAGGCUUCUCAUCGCGGCACACGCUUCUCAUCGCGAUGGCUUCUCUUGUUGCGGAGCACGGGCUCUAGGCGCACAGGUUUCAGUAGCUGUGGCACACUGGCUCAGUAGUUGUGGCUCACGGGCUUAGUUGCUCCACGGCAUGUGGGAUCUUCCCGGACCAGGACUCGAACCCGUGUCCCCUGCAUUGGCAGGCGGAUUCUAACCACUGUGCCACCAGGGAAGUCCCCAACAUCAGCCUUUCUUGCUAACAAGCUGUGCAGUCUUUGGGUCUUCCUUUAUUCAAAUUCUGGAGAGAAGGAAUCUGAUUGACUCAACCUGUCUUUGGCUUCACUUGCUCUCCUUUUGAGGUACCCGUGUCUGGAUGCACUGGUUUUGGAUCACGUGGACCUUCAGGACCAACCCUCGACUGCCAUGCAUAAGGACAAGCCUGUGCUGCUCUCCCAAAGGAGCCCUGGGGCCUGGGAGGCAGCCUACUGCUUGGCCUGGGCAGUAGUCAGAGUGCUGGAGAGGCAGUGUUGGAAAAACCAAGGGAGCUCUACAUGGGGCAAAGGCAGGGUAAGUCCUUGGUGAUGGGGCCCAGCAGUGGCUCUUAAAAUUGAAGAAACAAGUAAUUAAGCAUUCAACAGGCGCCAUGAUGGAAAAAUCUAGCAGGUGUGUGGGGAGGGUUGGGAGGGCACCAGUGCACUGAGUAUGUGAACUUGCCUUAUUCACAACCUCAAUCAAGGCCAUGAUACAAAUAAUCAAAUACUACUACUACUAAUGCUUACUCCAGGCCAGAUACUGUUCUAAGUGCCUUCCUUCCAUUAACUCAUUUAAUCCUUAAAAUGCCCUCUGAGGUAAGUACCAUUUCUAUUUUAUCCAUGAAAAACCAGACUCAGAGCGUAUAUAAAGGCCAAGUCACACAGCUAGUAAGUGGAGGAGCUGGGAUGUGCUCGUCACGACUUUGCUAUCCUACCUCCCUGGUAGGAGAGCAGGUGGCCACCUCCACCAGGCUGUUUGGGUACCAUUCAGUCCUAACUGGCCCAGAAUGUCUCCCUCAGUUCUGUCAUUCUUGCCAUCUCCCUUAGGGUUCAGAAACUCCUGCUCUUAAUCAUUAAUGUAGUGGAAGACAUGGUAACCUCAGAAGAUCUCUGGCUAGAAGAGGAAAACAGCAGUUGUCACCCUUGCCCUCUCCCAGUAGACCUUGCGUCCUAAGCGGAUGCAAAAUGAGCAUGAAGAUUUCACUCUUAGUGAGUUAACAAAGCCUGGGGCUUAAAGGAAGUGGGAAAGCAGUGAAGGGCUCCAGGAUUAACCUUGAAUUUAGGCUGAGUAAGAAGCCAAUAUGUGAUGUAUUAUAUUGAGAAGCCCCAGGGAAGAAACCUCCCUCUGCAAUACCUAUCAUUCCACCGAUUAUAGUCCUAGAGCAGCCCUGACCCACAGAACUUGCUGUGCUGAUGAAAAUGUUCUAUAUCUGCGCUGUCCAGUUCAGUAGCCACUAGCUCCAUGUAGCUAUGGAGCACUUGAAAUUUGGCUAGCGUGACUGACCAAAUUUUUUAUGUUAAUUAAUUGGAAUCUAAAUGUAAAUUGCCACAUGGGGCUAGUGGCUAUUAUCAGGGACAGGGCAGUUCUUGAGGACUCUCUAGAAUAUAUGUCCCGCUGGGAGGCUCAGACCUUAAGCAAUCAUCUGUUAAAGCCUUAGUUCAGGGAGUGCGUGCCGGGGACAGGGUGCGGGGCAGAUGCAUUUCAUUUGGCCAGAAUGUGGCUUUAGAAUCUUUCAUCUGAAAGCCUUCGGGCAGGGCAAGCACUCUCCAGUCUCUACCCCCGCUAAUUUUACUCCAGGGUCACUGCACACAUUUCGCCACCUCUGAUGGCAUGUAUAGUCGCGACCCUAGCCUUGGUAAAAGCCUUCAGUGGGUCUCAACUUGAUGUCAUUUGCUUCUCACAACAGCCUCCAAUAUGAAGGCUGAGUUGAGAUGGUUGUGUCCAUUUUGUGGGUAAGAGAAUGAAAGUCCCCAGAAGCUCCCAGGAAGGGGCAUUCUCCAAGCCUACCUCCACCUUUCCUGUCUCGUUUGCAUAGACACUGGGAGCCACCAGUUGGCUUCUGGGGCUGACCUGGCCCUGCUUUGGAACCUUGCCCAGCCCUGGCCAUAGGGAGCCCUCAGAGCACAUUUUCCCCAGCACUCCAUUCUUGUUUUCAUUCAAACAUUAUCUUGAUUCUUUUUUUUUUUUUUUUUUGCGUUACGCGGGCCUCUCACUGCCGUGGCCCCUCCCGCCACGGAGCACAGGCCCCGGACGCUUAGGCUCAGCCGCCAUGGCUCACGGGCCCAGCCGCUCCGCGGCAUGUGGGAUCUUCCCGGACCGGGAACCCACGUCGCCUGCAUCGGCAGGUGGACUCUCAACCACUGCGCCACCAGGGAAGGCCCUCUUGAUUCAUUUUUAAUGCAACCCAGCUGCCGCCCCAAGGCUUACUUAAUACACCACUUUCACUUGACUGUGUGCCUGCCUGUCUGCCUGGGCUUUGCAGCCUUCUGUUGUGCUUUCAAAGUUGAAAACGCUUGGGGUCCAUCAGCAGGUUCAACUGGGUGAACUGAGAGGGAAAAAAACCCAAUCUUCCAACUCUACCUCCACCCAAAGCCUGCCCCCUAGGCCUUUCCUCUACAUCAAACCUGAUCCUAGCCCCAUCCCAGUUUUCCACUGGCCUCACACUGCUUAUCUCUAGGCUUCUGGAAUUUAACACCUGCUUGACCCUCUGCCCCCUCAACCACCCAGCAGGGCCUCCACUCAAGUUUCCUGCCUCCCUGACAGGGGAGCGGGCCCAUGCUGAGCUGUCUGCCUUCCAGCUUUCCCACCAAUUACCUUCCCUUUCUGGAGACUUUGAGUUUACACUACUAUGGGACGGUGGCCAAAGAAAGAGACCUGCGUGCAAUCAGGAGGUGCAGUUGUAUGACCUUGGGCAAGUAAUUUAACCUCUCAGAGUCUCAGUUUCCAAAACUGGGAUUUUCAGGGCUUGGACUGGAUUAAUGGUUUUUCAAACUGUUUUUCUCAGGAGGGUUUUUCAGAGACUUCACAGAAGGCUGGAAGUUGGGGGUUGGGGGUGGGAGGUUGGGUGGUGGGGAGGAAAACCAAGUGGACAGGAACUUCAGGAUUUCCCCUACCCGCUUUGAUCAGAGAACCCACCUUAACCUGAUUAAUGGACCAGGCUUCUAAAAUGCUGCUGAAAGAGAAAGAGAGAGGGAGAGAGAUCGAAAACUCCAGAUUAACCAUAAGUAGAUGAUCCAAAAAGAUGCUUACAGCUUUAGCAUGGUGGAGUCAAAGUCUUUUCUCCCCAGUGGGUUACAGGCCACACAGUUGGGGCCCAGUCAAUGCCCGUGGAAGGAAGGAAGGAAGGAACAAUGGAGACUUUCUGUGGUGUUCCACGUGUGUCUCCUCUUAGCAGCCAGACCGAAAGACUUCAUCUUGCAUUUCUCUUGCAUUCUCCAGAGAGCUCCCGGCACAGGCCUGCAGUCUGGUCUCAAACCCUCUUCCUAACUGGAAGUUGGGGUAGGGGGUAGAAGUUGGGGGAAGGACCUCUGGGAGACAGAGCCUGUAACCCUGACCGUAAUGUAUAAUAAAACAAAUGCCAAAGCUCAGGGGGCGAGUCCCGCCUCCUUUACUACCCCGUGAUCUCUGACAGGGGGAAAGGAAGAAGGAGCACCCUAGGGGUGAGAAAGAAAGAGUACAUUGGAGUAGCACUCCCUCCUGGAGAGAUUAGGGACCCAAUGUGAGACCUCUCUCAGAGGGGGCUGCAUCUCCAGGGGAUCCUAGAGAGAGGAAUUCCCAAACCAGAGGCCACAUGUGACCCACAAAUGCUUGUGGGUUUGGUCAGAUCAUGAUAACAUCAAGAGUUUUGUAAAAAAAAAAUAAAUAAUAAUUCAUUGCUGGUAUUAAAAAACAGGUAUUUAAAAGAAUUUUUUUACAUAAAAAUUUAGGUUUCUGGCUUCUUUUGGAAAAUUGGAAGAACUGAAAGUGCUGGUCAUAUAUUCCCACUGGGCAAGAGUUGGUUGUGCUGAGCAUCUGCUACUUUCCUUAAACCUUCACUAAAACAUCCGCUUGCUGGUUUGCCACAGUCCCUACCACUCCCUACUGCUCCCUAUCGUUAUGUCUGAUCUCCUUCUCCCAUUUAUGCCACUGCCUGGCUCCUGUAGCAUCUGAGCUUGUGACUUUUGACUUUAUCCAAAGAGAUUACACUGGCACAGAGAACCAUAAGGGCAAUAUUCCUGAGCAGAGGAAUAUCCCCCUGCUCCUAACACCAUUUCAUUAGGGAGGCCACCCUUCCUGAAAGAGGUAAAUCCUACCACACAGCCUCACAGAUCGUGAAGAGCAUUCGAUUGCCAAAGGGUUUGGAAAAAAAUUUGUAUAGAUCUGCCCAGCUCCCUGUCCCCACAGCCUGCCCCCUCCAGCAUCAACAGCUGCCCGUUGCAUCAUCAGUAGCAGCAAACUCAGGCCCCAGUCGCUCAUCCUCUGUGACCCAGGAGAGAGUCAACCUUGUGCCCAGGCCCGGCCUAACCUUGCAGUCUGUUCCAUCAUCAGGGCCAUUUGCUUUGUGCCUGCUGACCAUCAUGUUUGUGUAGCCCCUUGCGUGAAUACCUGCCUUGGUUUCCUACCAGCCCUGAAAGGCUCUGGGAACUGAGUUGUGCCCUUCCCUCUCAUGCAAGGUCUUUGCAGCUGAGUCCUGUCCCUGGAACACCAGCUGCUGCCACCAGACUCCUUCAGCUGUGAGACUGCCUUCCUUCUGCCUCUGCCUUUCCCAGAGGCUGGCCUGCUCCCACCCCUUAGAGCAGGUCUUGUCCUAUUGCCUGCCUGGCCCUGUGCAGGAUGCUGCCAGCACAGGCAAAGCUUGUUUAGGGAGUGGGGUUUAGGUGGGAUUUCAGCCCCCCCCUCCUUCAGCCAUCACCUUUGUGCAUGAUCGCACAGCUCUGAGUAAGUUUGCCUGGGUCCUGAGCCUGGGCCAUCUCUGUUUGGCUUCAUCCUCCCACUGACCCAGCUUCAUUUCUGAUAUCCAUCCCCCAGUUUCCCAGCAUUACCUGUUCCUCCUCGUCUGACACCUAAUCCUGGGGCAACACGCAAUGAAUAUAAUAAUAAUUAACAUAUUGAGAUUCUAUCUGAGACAGUGUAUGAAGCACUGUACAUUUAUUAUUAUAUUUAAUUCUUACAACAACCAGGAAAUGUAUAACUGCUGUCCCCAUUUUCCAGAUGAGGAAACUGAGGCAUAGAGAGAUCAAGGAAUUUUCCCAAGGCCCACCACCAGUGAGUGACAACACUAGGAUUCAAACCUAGGUCUGUCUAUUGCCAAAGCUUAAGCUCUUAACCUCUCGGCUCUGUCUACCAAAUCAAAGAAAACUGGAAAUGAGACUCAGAGAAGCCAAUCAUUUGUUUAAGAUCACACAGCUCAUCAGUGGUAGAGCUCGAAUUCAAAACUCAGGGAACCUGAGCCUGUGGCCUCUCAGGUGUCUCUGAUUCCUGAUGAAAGGAUCUGGGGUGUGGGCCCUGGUAUCCUGGUGUCCUGGCCCCUGGCCAGGUUUUCCAGUUGCUUCUAGGUCUCGGCCUCUGCUGAAUUGCUGUGGACAUCCUGCCACCCAACAUGAGGAUGAAGCCCACUCGAGGAUGGCAGAGCAGGAGGGAAAGGACUCCUUGAGCUGCGGUGUCAACACUCUGAGCCUGCCCUUCCUCUGAACCUGCCCUUCCUCUGAACCUGCGCUAUGAAGGAUAACUGAGAGUGAGGACUAUUCCAGAAAGCAAUGGGGAUCCAGACACGUGGACAUCCUUAAUCCCUCCAACAGUGUUCCUGGUAGCCAUGAGCUCCAUUCCCACAGAGGUCAGUUGAUUCUCUUGCUUCUCUAUGGAUUUGCUUGGAGGGCAAAUGGUUUGGAGUGAGUGUUGGAGCAAAAUCCCACAGCAGAGGUUUCUCCCCCUUCUGGAAAACAUACUUUGUUUUUGUCAAACACCAGGUAUUCAGAGAAAGUUGCCUUUUGUCUCAACUGGGAGCAGACUUUGGUGGGCCUGAGGUGGAUUUCUUUAUUUUAAAAUAAAUAAAUUUAUUUAUUUAUUUUUAUUUUUGCCUGCGAUGGGUCUUUGCUGCUGCACCGGGCUUUCUCUAGCUGCACCGGGCUUUCUCUAGCUGCAAUGAGUGGGGGCUGCUCUUCAUUGCGGUGCGUGGGCUUCUCAUUGCGGUGGCUUCUCUUGUUGUGGAGCAUGGGCUCUAGGUGCGCGGGCUUUGGUAGUUGCGGCACGCGAGCUCAGUAGUUGUGGUGCACGGGCUUAGUUGCUCUGUGGCAUGUGGGAUCUUCCCAGACCAGGGCUCGAACCUGUGUCCCCUGCAUUGGCAGGCGGAUUCUCAACCACUGCGCCACCAGGGAAGUCCCCUGAGGUGGAUUUUCAAUCUUCUUUGCCUGCAUCUGACUCAGAACUGGUGGAUGGAGUCACUGCGGGUGUGGGAGAGAAAAAGCAAAUUCGCCAGAGGUAUCAGCCCUGCCCCCAGCAGAAGCCCGAGUGGGGUCUGGAGUGUUGACACUCACGGGCUGAGGCUGAGAUCAGCUGUCACUGCAGACAGAGCUGUUUCUUAUUUUAAUACUGCGGCAUAAACUGAGAGACUGCAAGUGCAGCUUCCAGCAGGGGCUGCAGCUCAGGGCUCUUAAUAUGUCCUUAGAACAGGCCUGCAGAGACUGGCUUCCUGGGAGCCGCAAGAGCUGGGGGCCUCGUGCUCAGCACCACACCCCCUCCUCCCAGGCCCUGCCUGCUGCAUUGCACCAUUGAUUCAGCGAAGACAUCAUCCUCACCCCCUUUGGAGAGCAGCUCGCUGCUCUGCUCUGACAAUUAGACUAGCUGCUGCAAAGAAGCACUCAUCCCCGCUGACAUAUGGCUGUUUAAAGUGAUCAAUUGCAUUAGCAAAUUUCUUAUUAGCUCUGCUGUCAGGAGGGAGCUCCUGCCACAUUAGCUCGCUGAGGUUGAUGCAUAACUUCCCGGCUGUUAAUUACCAAUGCCAAGGACUAAAGAGAUUCAGAGGCUGGUGAGUGGGUGGGUGGAGGCUCCCAUUCUCUCUACGCCUCCCGUGGGAGGUCAGGGAAGCUGGGGCUUGGUGUUGAGCUUCUCAGGUCUGACUCUGCAGUGGCUCUGCACUUUGGGCUCCUGAUCUUGGGGGGUAGGGCCCAGGAUGCCCAGUACCAUCUGGGUUGAUGGAGGUUGGGUUGUCCAAUAGGGCCUCCGGGAUUUGGCAGCUUGGAAUCUGCACAGCGUCUCUUUUGGAGCUGCAUUUUCGAGGCAGAGCCUGGACUGCAUCCCAGAAAGUUUCUCUGGCCUCUCCUUGUGGGGUUCAAGGCCGCCGAUCCUCCUCAUUCCUCGUCCCCUCACUCCAGACAGCUCAAGAGUCUCCUCCCUGAAGGUGACCUCAUGUCUCCUGCUCAGAUCUUCUUUUGGUGACUAUCCAAAGAACUGUAUAUUCAGGAUGUUAAACCCCCGACUUCCAUGGGCUCAGGCUUCCCUUUUAGAUGAGGAAUUGCAUAAAACUCACACGCACUGGGGAGCGAAAUGAGAGGAGGCGAAUUUCAAAUCCUUGUUUUACCUAUUGCCCCAGACUAGUAAAACCAUUUGGAGGGUCUCUGAUUCCUUUGAGAAUCAGACAGAA